AUCACUUGAAUCAUCUUCUCUAUCAGUCCAUUAAUUUGAGGAUAAAUACUUAUGCUAAAGUCAAGCAUGGUUCCCAACUCCUCGUGCAACCUAUCCUAAAAUCAAUAAAUAUACUUUGCAUCUCAAUGAGUAAUAAAGGUAAGGGGUACCCCAUAAAUCCUCACUAUCUCCUUGACAAAGAUUUUAGCUCCAACCUGAAUUAGAAAAAAGUGCGCUGAUUUCGUCAGCCAAUCUACUAUCACAUCAAUGGAGUCCUAUUUCCCAAAAGUCUUAGGAAUACCCACAAUAAAAUCUAUAGAAAUGUUCUCUCAUUUUCACAUAGGUAUAAGCAUCCUCUGAAGAAACC
rnacentral:lncRNA from 1 species